AGAUUUUUUAAAUUGCUGUAGUAUUUUGACUAUACAAAGGUAUUGUAAUAAGAUUUUAAUUGAAUGCUAAAAGAAUGGAAAUUUAAAAAAAAACUUUUUUAAAAAUAAAAAUUGAAUUUUUUUUAAUUUGUGCAAAAACAAUUAUACUUAUUAAAGACAAGAAGACCCUAAGAAUUUAAGAUUUUACAAUUAAAAAGUUUUUUUUUUAAAAUCUUGAUUGGGGCGAUCAAAAAAUAUUAAUAACUUUUUAAAAUUUAAAUUGAUCUAUUAUUAAUAAACUAAUGAAUUAAAUACUCUAGGGAUAACAGCGUAAUAAUUUUUGAUAGAUCUUAUUGACAAAAUAGUUUGCGACCUCGAUGUUGGAUUAGGAUUCUUUUUUAAUGAAAAAGUUAAAAAAAGAAGUUUGUUCAACUUUUAAAUUCCUACUUGAUCUGAGUUCAAACCGGCC
rnacentral:rRNA from 1 species